rnacentral:rRNA from 1 species
CUGCUGCCUCCCGUAGGAGUUUGGGCCGUGUCUCAGUCCCAAUGUGGCCGUCCACCCUCUCAGGCCGGCUACUGAUCGCUGCCUUGGUGGGCCGUUACCCCGCCAACUAGCUAAUCAGACGCGGAUCCAUCGUAUACCACCGGAGUUUUCACACUGCCCCAUGCGGAGCCGUGCGCUUAUGCGGUAUUAGCACCUAUUUCUAAGUGUUACUCCCCGGUAUACGGCAGGUUAUCCACGCGUUACUCACCCGUCCGCCA